rnacentral:rRNA from 1 species
UGGGGAAUUUUGGACAAUGGGCGAAAGCCUGAUCCAGCCAUGCCGCGUGAGUGAAGAAGGCCUUCGGGUUGUAAAGCUCUUUUAGUCGGAAAGAAAGAGUUGCAAUGAAUAAUUGUGAUUUAUGACGGUACCGACAGAAAAAGCACCGGCUAACUACGUGCCAGCAGCCGCGGUAAUACGUAGGGUGCGAGCGUUAAUCGGAAUUACUGGGCGUAAAGGGUGCGCAGGCGGUCUUUCAAGUCAGAUGUGAAAGCCCUGGGCUUAACCUGGGAAUUGCGUUUGAAACUACAAGGCUAGAGUGCAGCAGAGGGGAGUGGAAUUCCAUGUGUAGCAGUGAAAUGCGUAGAGAUGUGGAAGAACACCGAUGGCGAAGGCAGCUCCCUGGGUUGACACUGACGCUCAUGCACGAAAGCGUGGGGAGCAAACA